rnacentral:tRNA from 1 species
GAGGGUAUAGUUCAAGUGGUAGAGCACAUGCUUAGCAUGCAAAAGGUCCUGGGUUCAAUCCCCAGCACUUCCU